rnacentral:rRNA from 1 species
UGGGGAAUCUUCCGCAAUGGACGAAAGUCUGACGGAGCAACGCCGCGUGUAUGAUGAAGGUCUUCGGAUUGUAAAGUACUGUCAUUGGGGAAGAACGGUUUUCUUGAAAAGAUUGAGAAGACAUGACGGUACCCAAGGAGGAAGCCCCGGCUAACUACGUGCCAGCAGCCGCGGUAAUACGUAGGGGGCAAGCGUUGUCCGGAAUUAUUGGGCGUAAAGGGCGCGUAGGCGGGCCUUUAAGUCCGGUGUGAAAGAUCAGGGCUCAACCCUGAGAGUGCAUCGGAAACUGGAGGCCUUGAGGACAGGAGAGGAAAGUGGAAUUCCACGUGUAGCGGUGAAAUGCGUAGAUAUGUGGAGGAACACCAGUGGCGAAGGCGACUUUCUGGACUGUAACUGACGCUGAGGCGCGAAAGCGUGGGGAGCAAACAGGAUUAGAUACCCUGGUAGUCCACGCCGUAAACGAUGAGUGCUAGGUGUAGAGGGUAUCGACCCCUUCUGUGCCGCAGUUAACACAAUAAGCACUCCGCCUGGGGAGUACGGCCGCAAGGUUAGAAACUUAAAUGAAUUGACGGGGUCAUAGCUGUUUCC